rnacentral:rRNA from 1 species
AGAGUUUGAUCCUGGCUCAGUAUGAACGCUAGCUACAGGCUUAACACAUGCAAGUCGAGGGGCAGCAUGACCUAGCAAUAGGUUGAUGGCGACCGGCGCACGGGUGAGUAACACGUAUCCAACCUACCGGUUAUUCCGGGAUAGCCUUUCGAAAGAAAGAUUAAUACCGGAUAGUAUAACGAGAAGGCAUCUUCUUGUUAUUAAAGAAUUUCGAUAACCGAUGGGGAUGCGUUCCAUUAGUUUGUUGGCGGGGUAACGGCCCACC